GCGUGAUUGGUGAAGUGGUUAACACGGCGGAUUGUGGUUCCGUUAUGCGUGGGUUCGAUCCCCACAUCGCGCCCCA
rnacentral:tRNA from 2 species